CUACGGGAGGCACCAGUGGGGAAUAUUGCACAAUGGGGGAAACCCUGAUGUAGCCAUGCCGCGUGUGUGAAGAAGGCCUUCGGGUUGUAAAGCACUUUCAGUAGGGAGGAAGGUAGUGUAGUUAACACCUGCAUUAUUUGACGUUACCUACAGAAGAAGCACCGGCUAACUCCGUGCCAGCAGCCGCGGUAAUACGGAGGGUGCGAGCGUUAAUCGGAAUUACUGGGCGUAAAGCGCAUGCAGGCGGCCUGUUAAGUCAGAUGUGAAAGCCCGGGGCUUAACCUCGGAAUUGCAUUUGAAACUGGCAGGCUAGAGUCUUGUAGAGGGGGGUAGAAUUUCAGGUGUAGCGGUGAAAUGCGUAGAGAUCUGAAGGAAUACCAGUGGCGAAGGCGGCCCCCUGGACAAAGACUGACGCUCAGAUGCGAAAGCGUGGGGAGCAAACAGGAUUAGAUACCCCGGUAGUC
rnacentral:rRNA from 1 species